CUUGUAUAUCAUUAUACUAUUCUGAACACAUCAUUUCCUUCUAAUUUUGAAAGCUAAGUAAUAUCAAGCCUGGUUAGAAUUUGGAUGGAAAACCACCAGGGAAUACCUGGGAUUUUCAGGC
rnacentral:rRNA from 11 species